rnacentral:rRNA from 1 species
AAACCAACAGGGAUUGCCCCAGUAACGGCGAGUGAAGCGGCAACAGCUCAAAUUUGAAAUCUGGCCCCAGGCCCGAGUUGUAAUUUGCAGAGGAUGCUUUUGGCGCGGUGCCUUCCGAGUUCCCUGGAACGGGACGCCAUAGAGGGUGAGAGCCCCGUACGGUUGGACACCAAGCCUUUGUAAAGCUCCUUCGACGAGUCGAGUAGUUUGGGAAUGCUGCUCUAAAUGGGAGGUACAUUUCUUCUAAAGCUAAAUAUUGGCCAGAGACCGAUAGCGCACAAGUAGAGUGAUCGAAAGAUGAAAAGCACUUUGAAAAGAGGGUUAAACAGCACGUGAAAUUGUUAAAAGGGAAGCGCUUGUGACCAGACUUGCGUCCGGUGAAUCACCCAGCUCUCGCGGCUGGGGCACUUCGCCGGCACAGGCCAGCAUCAGCUUGCCGUCGGGGACAAAAGCUUCAGGGACGUGACUCCUCUCGGGGAGUGUUAUAACCUGUUGCACAAUACCCUUCGGCGGGCUGAGAUACGCGCUCCGCAAGGAUGCUGGCGUAAUGGUCAUCAGCGAC